CUGGGUCUGAGGCUGAGGCCAGCAGCCUCCAGCAACAGUGAGCAGAGACAGUCUGAGCGAGGCUGCCUGGACACACAGAAAAUUGUACAAAACAGGAAGCCCAAGGGGCAGCAGCCUCAGCAAAGAAGACCAGACAGUCCUCUCCCCAGCCACCUCCGUCAG